UUCUCAGCAUCUUGCAAAGCCUCUGAACUUCAAUCACUUGUAUCCCAGCUAGUGCAAUCCUGAAUUACUUCAAGAGAAUGAAAUCAACUGUCUUAGCAGAGUUGAAAGUAGAACAAUGUGGAUUUCAUUUCUGGUAAAAGGAGGAUUUCUUCAGCCCUAAGCUACAUUCUAGAUGCCCGUGUAUUAACCAAAGUAGCCUCAGGUUUUGUUGCUCUUUUCAGUGGCAGGUUUUAGAUUUGAAUACCAGGUUCAAAUCUCUUCUUCAAGCCCAACUGGUGACCUUGGGCAAAUGGCUGUCAAAACUGUACACACAGCACUUUAAAUUGGUUUCAUUGCAUCCCAUGUGUGCGUGUUUUUUUCACAUCGCCAACAUGAUGUCCUCAUCCAACUGGCAGCCUUCACCCCUCCCCCAAUUUAAUGUGGAUUUUCCUGCUCUGAACAGUAUGGUAGGGGGGCAUACAGUUGUAUAUGGCUCAACUGUGGGCAUACUGAAGUGAAUUGUGUGGGGUGGGUUCUUGUGUUUUGCUGGGUGCCAUCUAACACUAUAUUACCUGCUGCUUUGGUGAGGUGCCCCUUCAUAAGUGGGUGGGGGGCAGGUGUGACACUUAUUAUUAUUAAACUAUAUUGUGUAAGUUUGAUAAACCAGAAAACCCAUCUCAAAAAAUGGCUAUAUAUGCAGGUAAAACGGCUGCCUGCAUGCCUACAUUGGUACAUAUGUGGUGCAUAUAAAGAUUAAACUUGGGCAAGCUCUACUAGGAAGAGUUGUGCAAGGUCCUGUCCAUUAAUCCACCAUCCCCUUUCUCCUGCUGGAGUAAGCUGUAUUCUCCUUUUAUACGCAGCAGAAGGAGAGGAACACGUGAUUUGUUCCGAAAGGCAGGCUUCAAGUGCUUCAGAUAUUAGAAGGCUUGAAGAAGCUGUUGUCCUGCUAAAAGAACAAGGCAAGUUAACAAAUGCAGGCCCAAAGGUCUUUACGUGGUUGACGGCUCUAAAAUGCACCUAGCCAUUCUACAGAAAGUACAAGUUUAAAAGCAAGUGAGAGAAGCAAUAACACAAUAAGAUAUAGAAACAAACAAACAAAAGACCACGGGGAGGUAGAAGUUGAUUUUUCUGUUGCUAAGAUAUUUUCUUCCUGUGCAGCUAAGCAGGCAAAUACUGUAAACAAAAGCUGAGACUUUUAGCAAGAGCAAACCACGGCUUGUGCUACCGCUGUGCUUGCUGCUGGACAAGACUGUAGUAAUCUCAAUUUCCUUAUCUUUUGCUUAAAUUUAAUUACCACAAUGAGGUGGGAGUUUUUCUCAACUAUGUCUAGACUUCAAAACACUGGUAUUGGGAGUUGAUAAGAGUUUUGGCCUUGGACCAGGGAGGAAGGAUUUCAAUCCCUGUCCAGCUUUCAACUUGCUGGGUUAGCUCAAGGCAGACUUUUAACUCUUCCUCACCCUCCCAUACUUCUCAGAGCUCUUGGAGGCAGCAAAGGGAGUUCUCUGAACUUGUCAGAGAAACUUUCCAUUUUAAAUUCCAUCUCUUACAGACCCCCCCCCCCAAUCUUUCUUUAUUGCUGGCUUGCAUAGCCGAAGAACACCGAGACUGAACAUAAAGUGAAACUGGCUUCUCCCAACUUAUGCCUCUCUGUGUUCCACUUCUGGAGGCUGCGGGACAAAGCAGUCCUGCUUGCUCUGGCAUGGUGGCAAAUGGGACAGAGAGCGGAAUUUACACCUGUUAGUCUUGCCAAGCCUUGGUUCAUAUCUGAACUUGACCCCAACAUCAAGCAAUGACCUGCAUCUGUGAAAGGUCCAGGCAGAGCUUUACUCACCUAAAGAUCAUCAUACUUGGCCUGUUGCAAGUCAUCAAGUGAUAUAUGUGCAUGGGUGAAUAACCCCUUCAUAGUGCAAAUAAGAAUUUUUAUUCUUCACGGACUUUUGAACUGUUCAUCAAUAAAUGAGAAAGGGGAAGCACUCCCAUUUUAUACAGUAAGGUUUGGCUAACACCCCGGGUAUCCUGCAUUUGCCCUCUAGAACACGGCAGCUGUUUCCUAGCAGACAAGUUAAUGUGAAGAGUUUUGUAAACAGGAAGUUAGAAAAACCACAAAACUUGCCUUCUUACGGUGUGAUAAAUGGUAAGUCAAACUGAAGUUUUGUUUUUCAGCUUUGUUUUCAUGUAUUUUCACAAAUAAAUGGUUCUGGCGAUAGGCUACCAAAGAGCUGAGAGCUGAUGAUACUCCUCCUAGACAGUAAUGAAAAUCCAGGCCCCCUGUCCUCUAGAGCUGCUACGACUUCAAGUAUUGCCUGCCAGUAUAUAAUAACAGACUUUGAACUGGAAUGAAAGAUGUUAGAAAUACACUCUCCUUCCUGCAAUAAAACUGAAUAAAUGCUG